UACGUAGGGUGCGAGCGUUGUCCGGAAUUAUUGGGCGUAAAGAGCUCGUAGGCGGUGUGUCGCGUCGGCCGUGAAAACCUGCAGCUUAACUGUGGGCUUGCGGUCGAUACGGGCAUCACUGGAGUUCGGCAGGGGAGACUGGAAUUCCUGGUGUAGCGGUGAAAUGCGCAGAUAUCAGGAGGAACACCGGUGGCGAAGGCGGGUCUCUGGGCCGAUACUGACGCUGAGACGCGAAAGCGUGGGGAGCAAACAGG
rnacentral:rRNA from 1 species